CCUUAUCCCUUCGCACCCACGCCUAGCGAUCGAAGCCGCCGCAAGUCACCGCCGCUAGCCUGGAGGCCUCAUGCCGCCACCGCUCGCCCCUUUCUCCGUAGGUCACCCACGCACCUGGGACCCGGGGCCGUUUCCUCCUCACCACUAGGCUGGAGCCUGGAGGAGGCCCGAGGAGGUGACCAUGAGGAGCGCGCAGCCGCCGGAGCCAUUGGUAGAUCCAGCCGGGAGCGUCGGCAACCAUCCCUCCUUCCGGCGGCGAUGAAUAAUUGAAGAGGCUUGAGGAGAAUGGGCGCAUGGGCCGUGCGCGUCUGCCGCGCUAGGAGCCACCGUUCCUCGUCAUCUGCUAGGAUCCACGAGGAAUCGAUCCAUAUAAUGUUUGCGGGGAGCUCGGUUAGUGUCGAUGCCUCAAGGGUUUAUGCAUAUCAAUUCCAUGUUGCUUAAAGCCACUGUAACAGUGUAACCAUGGCUACUGGUUUUCAGAUUCAAAAGAAGCAUAAUGGAGUUGCAGCUGAACCGUUCUUCGGUUGGAUGAAGAAGCAAAUGUAAUUAGAAGACUUUACUUAGCAAUAAUUGUAGUUUGCAUUGAUAGAUUGAAAAAUGUAACACCAUUCAGAAGAUCUUUUUCUUUGGUCGAAUUGAUGCAAAUGCUAUGGUGUAAUAUUCUUCAUAGAUGUGUUCUCUAUAGUAAAAUAUAUAUGAAUGAUAUGAUGUCUAGCCAAUAACAUUGGUAUGUAUUUAUUGUAAUGCAUAUGUAUCCUACAUUCUUGUAUAUUCAUAAUAAAUACCUUG
rnacentral:rRNA from 1 species